UGCGUAAAUCCCCCGGUAUCCCCCGCCCUCGUGGGGCAACCCCGCCGCCCGGAAUCCCGAAGCUAAAUUUCAGACGUAUGUGAAUAAUUAUUACGAAGGUAUAAACCUGUUCCAGAAAGUUCCCCGUCCAAAAGAUUUUCGUGAUUAAUCUCAGCUGUAUAUGUUAAGGAAGGGGAAAAAAACAAAGUGACGGAAAUUCUGACAGCAUGCAGCAUCAAGAGCCUUUUUGGAGCAACUUGGAUCUUUGCUGUGGAUAACUUGCCAGAAAUGUGAGGCCAACAGAGAUCGUAAGUGAUGGGCGAGUGGCACAGAGGAGGAAGUGGAGACUUUCAGUAUGACAGGCAAAAGGGCAUCGCUAGGCCACCCUGUCACACGGCGUACACUUACAGAAAGGCUGGAAGGUUCAAGGCCAAA